UACGAAGGGGGCUAGCGUUGCUCGGAAUCACUGGGCGUAAAGCGCACGUAGGCGGAUUUCUAAGUCAGGGGUGAAAUCCUGGAGCUCAACUCCAGAACUGCCUUUGAUACUGGGAAUCUCGAGUCCGGGAGAGGUGAGUGGAACUGCGAGUGUAGAGGUGAAAUUCGUAGAUAUUCGCAGGAACACCAGUGGCGAAGGCGGCUUACUGGUCCAUAACUGACGCUGAGGUGCGAAAGCGUGGGGAGCAAACAGG
rnacentral:rRNA from 1 species